UACGUAGGGUGCGAGCGUUUGUCCGGAAUUAUUGGGCGUAAAGAGCUCGUAGGCGGUCUGUCGCGUCGGCUGUGAAAUCCCGAGGCUCAACCUCGGGUCUGCAGUCGAUACGGGCAGGCUAGAGUGUGGUAGGGGAGAUCGGAAUUCCUGGUGUAGCGGUGAAAUGCGCAGAUAUCAGGAGGAACACCGGUGGCGAAGGCGGAUCUCUGGGCCAUUACUGACGCUGAGGAGCGAAAGCGUGGGGAGCGAACAGG
rnacentral:rRNA from 1 species